GAGUAAAAUACACAAAUGUAUAAUACUUUAAUUCAGGAGCACAGUCUGUCUUUACCGUAAAUAACUUCGAGAUUAAUAUGUAAGUUUACUUUGCUAAUCGAUGUUCCUGUAAUUCAGAUUUAAAUUUAUUUGUGAGACCCCCGUCACUAUUUAUAUUCACUCAAAGAAAGGGGUUCUCCGUUACUGGGAAAAUCCAACGACGUAUUGUGUUAGUUAUACGUCCUUGGAAAAUCUUAUCUGAUUCAGGAUCAAUUUAUCGGUUACACUCCCCUAUCACCAGUGAUUCUUUGUGAACUGACAUUCUGAAAAAGGUAUACUGUUGACUAUCAAUUUGCAUGAUUAGUUACAGAUGUCGACUCGGACUACUGCAGAAGACAAUAAUUCAGUUCACUGAUUUAGAUUGAAUAGUGGUUCGGUUAAUCCCCUCUUCCCCAAACAAGGCAAGAACAUUAAAGAUAAAGGGAAACUAUAAACAAAAGAAAUUAUCAACAAAAAUAGAUUUACAGACGUCAACAAAGCCUAAAUGGUCAGACAUCUUGGUUUUCAUGAUCAUCAUUCAACAGGUCAAUACUGAACAGCAAACUUAAAGUGGAUAUUUUUCUACAUAGUGUGACUUUUUUAUUAAUUUGAAAUGGAAUGUGUUUUUUUUCCUACAUAAGAAAGAGGAAAUUUCAACAUAAUGACUAUAAACAAAAAGGAGUCAUAUCAUCAUGAUCAUAGAUGCUCAAGAACUUAAUCAUGUAAAUGCAACAACGUAAUUAUCAAUUGAAAGAAGGGAGGAAUGAAAAAAUAUAUUAGUAUUUUGUUGUCCAAAUGAACUUGCUUUGUCCACUCAUUUAAAUCGUUCCAUCCAAUAAAGAUGUACGGAGGAAGAUUUUUGAAGUACAGAUUGCAAAAAUGUUUUGUCUAAGAAUUGUAAGAAUAUUCUAGUGGAUGAAAUAAUUUAUUUACUUGACUCUUAUAUAGUGGACUGAAUAAUUGUUCAUAGCAAGCUGAAACAAGAAAACUAAAAAUUAACAGGAAAAGUGUUUAUUUUAUAAAUUUACAAAUAUAAAUGUAAUAUUAUGAACACCACAAAGGAAUAAGAUUCAAAUCGUUUGCAUAUUCAUGUAUUGCAAUGGAACUAUAACAAAGAAAACUUUACCUCAUGAAAAGAGUAAACUAUUAACUGUGCUUUGUCAAUUUAUUCAGUCAGAAUAUGAAAUAUUUUUUUCAGUUCUAUUUUUCAUAAUAAAACAAAGAAGACAAAGAU